GGGCGCGUGGUGGAAUGGGUAGACACGAGGGACUUAAAAUCCCUUGGCUUCGGCCAUGCAGGUUCGAUCCCUGCCGCGCCCACCA
rnacentral:tRNA from 1 species